AGUUUGAUCCUGGCUCAGGAUGAACGCUAGCGGCAGGCCUAAUACAUGCAAGUCGAACGGGAUUGGAGAGCUUGCUUUCCAUGAGAGUGGCGUACGGGUGCGUAACGCGUAUGCAACCUACCUUCAUCAGGGGGAUAGCCCGAAGAAAUUCGGAUUAACACCGCAUAACAUUAUUGGAUGGCAUCAUUUAAUAAUCAAAUAUUUAUAGGAUGAAGAUGGGCAUGCGUGUCAUUAGCUAGUUGGUGAGGUAACGGCUCACCAAGGCGACGAUGACUAGGGGAUCUGAGAGGAUGACCCCCCACACUGGUACUGAGACACGGACCAGACUCCUACGGGAGGCAGCAGUAAGGAAUAUUGGUCAAUGGGGGCAACCCUGAACCAGCCAUGCCGCGUGCAGGAAGACUGCCCUAUGGGUUGUAAACUGCUUUUAUACGGGAAUAAACCUUGAUUCGUGAAUCGAGCUGAAUGUACCGUAAGAAUAAGGAUCGGCUAACUCCGUGCCAGCAGCCGCGGUAAUACGGAGGAUCCAAGCGUUAUCCGGAUUUAUUGGGUUUAAAGGGAGCGUAGGCGGCCUAUUAAGUCAGGGGUGAAAGACGGUGGCUCAACCAUCGCAGUGCCUUUGAUACUGGUAGGCUUGAAUGUAGUUGAGGUAGGCGGAAUGUGACAAGUAGCGGUGAAAUGCAUAGAUAUGUCACAGAACACCGAUUGCGAAGGCAGCUUACUAAGCUAUGAUUGACGCUGAGGCUCGAAAGCGUGGGGAUCAAACAGGAUUAGAUACCCUGGUAUCGUG
rnacentral:rRNA from 1 species